UAGUCCACGCCGUAAACGAUGGGCACUAGGUGUCGGGGGUUCUUGUCCCUUCGAUGCCGCCGCUAACGCAUUAAGUGCCCCGCCUGGGGAGUACGGUCGCAAGAUUAAAACUCAAAGAAAUUGACGGGGGCCCGCACAAGCGGUGGAGUAUGUGGUUUAAUUCGAGGCAACGCGAAAAACCUUACCUGGGCUUGACAUCCCGCGCUACCCUGUGAAAGCAGGGGUUCCCUUCGGGGACGCGGUGACAGGUGCUGCAUGGCUGUCGUCAGCUCGUGUCGUGAGAUGUUGGGUUAAGUCCCGCAACGAGCGCAACCCUUGCCAUUAGUUGCCAGCAUUUAGUUGGGCACUCUAAUGGGACCGCUUGGAGAUAAUCCAGAGGAAGGUGGGGAUGACGUCAAGUCCGCAUGGCCCUUACGUCCAGGGGCUACACACGUACUACAAUGGCCGGUACAAAGCGCAGCGACAAUGU
rnacentral:rRNA from 1 species